rnacentral:rRNA from 1 species
CCUACGGGUGGCAGCAGUGAGGAAUAUUGGUCAAUGCGCGAGAGCCUGAACCAGCCAAGUCGCGUGAAGGAUGACGGCCCUACGGGUUGUAAACUUCUUUUGUCAGGGAGCAAUUGCGUCCAAGUGUGGUCUUAGCGAGAGUACCUGAAGAAAAAGCAUCGGCUAACUACGUGCCAGCAGCCGCGGUAAUACGGAGGAUGCGAGCGUUAUCCGGAUUUAUUGGGGUAAAAGGGUGAGUAGGCGGAAUAUCAAGUCAGCGGUAAAAAUUCGGGGCUCAACCCCGUCGUGCCGUUGAAACUAAUGUUCUAGAGUGGGCGAGAAGUAUGCGGAAUGCGUGGUGUAGCGGUGAAAUGCAUAGAUAUCACGCAGAACUCCGAUUGCGAAGGCAGCAUACCGGCGCCCAACUGACGCUGAAGCACGAAAGCGUGGGUAUCGAACAGGAUUAGAUACCCCAGUAGUC